AUCCGACGAAUCGGCGCACUGGACUAUGAGGUGGUGCCAGACAGCAUUUCGCAAUCACAGCGGCGCCGCUCACGACCUGAAAUAGUCCAUGUUGUGCGCCUUAAGCCGUUCUACCAGCGCUAACGAACUUUGGGACUAUGUGAAGCUGAACCUCUGG
rnacentral:lncRNA from 1 species